UACGGGGGGGGCAAGCGUUGUUCGGAAUUACUGGGCGUAAAGGGCGCGUAGGCGGCCUUCUAAGUCGAACGUGAAAUCCCCGGGCUCAACCCGGGAACUGCGUCCGAUACUGGAAGGCUUGAAUCCGGGAGAGGGAUGCGGAAUUCCAGGUGUAGCGGUGAAAUGCGUAGAUAUCUGGAGGAACACCGGUGGCGAAGGCGCACAUCUGGCCCGAUACUGACGCUGAGGCGCGAAAGCUAGGGUAGCAAACGGG
rnacentral:rRNA from 1 species